rnacentral:rRNA from 1 species
GACGAACGCUGGCGGCGUGCUUAACACAUGCAAGUCGAACGAUGAACCACUUCGGUGGGGAUUAGUGGCGAACGGGUGAGUAACACGUGGGCAAUCUGCCCUUCACUCUGGGACAAGCCCUGGAAACGGGGUCUAAUACCGGAUAACACUGCCACGGGCAUCUGUGGUGGUUAAAAGCUCCGGCGGUGAAGGAUGAGCCCGCGGCCUAUCAGCUUGUUGGUGGGGUGAUGGCCACCAAGGCGACGACGGGUAGCUGGUCUGAGAGGACGACCAGUCACACUGGAACUGAGACACGGUCCAGACACCUACGGGUGGCAGCAGUCGAGAAUUUUUCUCAAUGGGGGAAACCCUGAAGGAGCGACGCCGCGUGGAGGAUGAAGGCUUUCGGGUUGUAAACUCCUGUCAUUUGGGAACAAGUUACACACGUUAACUAGCGUGGGUAUUGAUAGUACCAGAAGAGGAAGAGACGGC